CGUGCCUCACUGUAAACACUGGAAUGUAUGGAAGGGGAGGGGAAGGAGGCGUAGGGAAGAGCUCUGAUUAAUCUCUCCCUCAAUAUAAACACUGACAGAAGAGGGUGGGAGAGGAGGUGAACGUGAGCGGAAAGUACGCAAUCUAUGGUCUCCCUCCCUUACACGUAUGGAAGGGAAGGAGGCGUAGGGAAGAGCUCUGAUUAACCUCUCCCUCAAUAUAAACAGUGACAGAAGAGGGUGGGAGAGGAGGUGAACGUGAGCGGAAAGUACGUAGUCUAUGGUCUCCCUCCCUCACACGUAUGGAAGGGGAGGGAAAGGAAGGGAAGGAGGCGAAGGGAAGAGCUCUGAUUAACCUCUCCCUCAAUAUAAACACUGACAGAAGAAGAGGAGCGGGAGAGGUGGUGAUUGGAACGUGACAGCAAAGUAUGUGUAAGGAAGGGGAGGUGAUUAGGUGAAGGAGGGUAAGGGAGAGCAGUGAUUACCCCCUCCCUCAAUAUAAACACUGCUGGAGAGAAAUGGAGGGAAGGUGAGGGGAAGGGAACGUGACGUGUAAGGAAGGGGAGGUGAAGGAGGGUAAGAGAGCAGUGAUUACUCCCUCCCUCAAUAUAAACACUGCUAGAAAGAAAUGGAGGGAAGGUGAGGGGAAGGGAACGUGGGAAUAAAGUAAUCCAUGGUCUGCCUCCCUUAAUAUAAUCGUGAAGGAGGGGAAGGGAAAACAAGGUCGGCCCAAAUCGUCAUCGCGGGAGGACGCUUCAACCCUCAAGGUGGUCGUGGUGUGUGAUCAAGGUCCUGGUUGCCAUACUCAAGGCUAUAGUUCACCAUUCUUUUUUUCUUUUUCUACUGAUGAUGAUGAUGAUGAUAGGUACGACUGACGAAUCAACCUUACCCCUUAAAAAAGCCGACCUCCUAAGCUUUACAUUGAGUAUAAAAUCGUUCAAAAAUUCAGCUUCUACACGAGUCGAUAAGGUAAACCAUAUAGGGUACACCAUGAUGAGGGAGGAGGUGGACAGAUGCAGGUAAGAGGCGAGGGGGAAGGGAAAAAGCAAAACAGUACAACGCAGUGCCCAGUUGUAUGCAGUGUUUGUGUGUUAAUGUGCUUGAUGGUUAUUGAGGGUCUUCUUCGUACACUCUGAUGCCGCCCGCCCCCUUCACACCUCUCCUGCCCCCGCCCCGCCCCGUGCGCCCCCCGGCCCCGCCCUGGGUGCACCUUCUCCUGACGUCGCCGCCACCAUCAUUAACUUGAGACCCACAGGCAAGGCAGGAAAAAAUAACAUUUCGAAAGAAACACAUCUGGACCUAAACUUGAAAUGUCUUUUUUUUUUUGUAUCUUUAUUUACUAAUUUAUAGGGGAGGCAUAUAUCAGGCGUUUAUCUAU